rnacentral:rRNA from 1 species
AACGAACGCUGGCGGCAGGCUUAACACAUGCAAGUCGAGCGAGACCUUCGGGUCUAGCGGCGGAGGGGUGAGUAACGCGUGGGAACGUGCCCUUCUCUACGGAAUAGCCCCGGGAAACUGGGAGUAAUACCGUAUACGCCCAUUGGGGGAAAGAUUUAUCGGGGAAGGAUCGGCCCGCGUUGGAUUAGGUAGUUGGUGGGGUAAUGGCCCGCCAAGCCGACGAUCCAUAGCUGGUGUGAGAGGAUGAUAAGCCACACUGGGACUGAGACACGGCCCAGACUCCUACGCGAGGGAGCAGUGGGGAAUCUUAGACAAUGGGGGCAACCCUGAUCUAGCCAUGCCGCGUGAGUGAUGAAGGCCUUAGGGUUGUAAAGCUCUUUCAGCUGGGAAGAUAAUGACGGUACCAGCAGAAGAAGCCCCGGCUAACUCCGUG